rnacentral:rRNA from 1 species
UACACGACCGUACCGCAAACCGACACUGGUGCGCGAGAUGAGUAUUCUAAGGCGCUUGAGAGAACUCAGGAGAAGGAACUCGGCAAAUUGACACCGUAACUUCGGAAGAAGGUGUGCCUUUAGUAGGUGAACCAUUUACUUGGGGAGCCCAAUGAGGUUGCAAAAAAUCGGUGGCUGCGACUGUUUAAUAAAAACACAGCACUCUGCAAACAAAAGUGGACGUAUAGGGUGUGACGCCUGCCCGGUGCUGGAAGAUUAAAUGAUGGGGUGCAAGCUCUUGAUUGAAGUCCCAGUAAACGGCGGCCGUGACAAUAACGGUCCUAAGGUAGCGAAAUUCCUUGUCGGGUAAGUUCCGACCUGCACGAAUGGCGUAACGAUGGCCACACUGUCUCCUCCUGAGACUCAGCGAAGUUGAAAUGUUUGUGAUGAUGCAAUCUCCCCGCGGAAAGACGGAAAGACCCCAUGAACCUUACUGUAGCUUUGUAUUGGACUUUGAACAGAUCUGUGUAGGAUAGGUGGGAGGCUUUGAAGUGUGGUCGCUAGAUCGCAUGGAGCCAACGUUGAAAUACCACCCUGGUGUGUUUGAGGUUCUAACCUAGGCCCGUAAUCCGGGUCGGGGACAGUGCAUGGUAGGCAGUUUGACUGGGGCGGUCUCCUCCCAAAGCGUAACGGAGGAGUUCGAAGGUACGCUAGGUACGGUCGGACAUCGUGCUAAUAGUGCAAUGGCAUAAGCGUGCUUAACUGCGAGACUGACAAGUCGAGCAGAUGCGAAAGCAGGACAUAGUGAUCCGGUGGUUCUGUAUGGAAGGGCCAUCGCUCAACGGAUAAAAGGUACUCUGGGGAUAACAGGCUGAUACCGCCCAAGAGUUCAUAUCGACGGCGGUGUUUGGCACCUCGAUGUCGGCUCAUCUCAUCCUGGGGCUGCAGCCGGUCCCAAGGGUAUGGCUGUUCGCCAUUUAAAGAGGUACGUGAGCUGGGUUUAAAACGUCGUGAGACAGUUUGGUCCCUAUCUUCCGUGGGCGCUGCAGAUUUGAGGAAGCCUGCUCCUAGUACGAGAGGACCGGAGUGGACACACCUCUGGUGUAUUGGUUGUCACGCCAGUGGCAUUGCCGAGUAGCUAUGUGUGGAAGAGAUAACCGCUGAAAGCAUCUAAGCGGGAAACUCGUUUCAAGAUGAGAUCUGCCGGGGCCUUGAGCCCCCUAAAGAGUCGUUCAAGACCAGGACGUUGAUAGGUCAGGUGUGGAAGCGCAGUAAUGCGUUAAGCUAACUGAUACUAAUUGCUCGUGCGGCUUGACC